AUUGAACGCUGGCGGCAGGCCUAACACAUGCAAGUCGAGCGAGCGGCGGACGGGUGAGUAAUGUAUGGGGAACUGCCCGAUGGAGGGGGAUAACUACUGAAAACGGUGGCUAAUACCGCAUACUAUCGGAUGAACCCAGAUUGGAUUAGCUAGUAGGUGGGGUAAAGGCUCACGUAGGCGACGAUCUCUAGCUGGUCUGAGAGGAUGAUCAGCCACACUGGAAGUGAGACACGGCCCAGACUCCUACGGGAGGCAGCAGUGGGGAAGAUUGCACAAUGGGCGCAAGCCUGAUGCAGCAAUGCCGCGUGUAUGAAGAAGGCCUUAGGGUUGUAAAGUACUUUCAGCGGGGAGGCGUUACCCGCAGAAGAAGCACCGGCUAACUACGUGCCAGCAGCCGCGGUAAUUC
rnacentral:rRNA from 1 species